rnacentral:rRNA from 1 species
CCUACGGGAGGCAGCAGUAAGGAAUAUUGGUCAAUGGACGCAAGUCUGAACCAGCCAUGCCGCGUGAAGGAUUAAGGUCCUCUGGAUUGUAAACUUCUUUUAUCUGGGACGAAAAAAGGCGAUUCUUCGUCACUUGACGGUACCAGAUGAAUAAGCACCGGCUAACUCCGUGCCAGCAGCCGCGGUAAUACGGAGGGUGCAAGCGUUAUCCGGAUUCACUGGGUUUAAAGGGUGCGUAGGCGGGCAGGUAAGUCAGUGGUGAAAUCCUAGAGCUUAACUCUAGAACUGCCAUUGAUACUAUCUGUCUUGAAUAUUGUGGAGGUAAGCGGAAUAUGUCAUGUAGCGGUGAAAUGCUUAGAUAUGACAUAGAACACCUAUUGCGAAGGCAGCUUACUACGCAUAUAUUGACGCUGAGGCACGAAAGCGUGGGGAUCAAACAGGAUUAGAUACCCUGGUAGUCCACGCCCUAAACGAUGAUUACUCGACAUUUGUGAUACACUAUAAGUGUCUGAGCGAAAGCAUUAAGUAAUCCACCUGGGAAGUACGACCGCAAGGUUGAAACGUCAAAGGAAUUAGACGG